rnacentral:rRNA from 1 species
UAGGGAAUCUUCCACAAUGGACGCAAGUCUGAUGGAGCAACGCCGCGUGAGUGAAGAAGGUUUUCGGAUCGUAAAGCUCUGUUGUUGGUGAAGAAGGAUAGAGGCAGUAGCUGGUCUUUAUUUGACGGUAAUCAACCAGAAAGUCACGGCUAACUACGUGCCAGCAGCCGCGGUAAUACGUAGGUGGCAAGCGUUGUCCGGAUUUAUUGGGCGUAAAGCGAGCGCAGGCGGAAUGAUAAGUCUGAUGUGAAAGCCCACGGCUCAACCGUGGAACUGCCUCGGAAACUGUCAGUCUUGAGUGCAGAAGAGGAGAGUGGAAUUCCAUGUGUAGCGGUGGAAUGCGUAGAUAUAUGGGAGAACACCAGUGGCGAAGGCGGCUCUCUGGUCUGCAACUGACGCUGAGGCUAGAAAGCAUGGGUAGCGAACAGG